rnacentral:rRNA from 1 species
GAUGAACGCUAGCUACAGGCUUAACACAUGCAAGUCGCGGGGCAGCAUGGGGGUUGCUUGCAAUCCCCGAUGGCGACCGGCGCACGGGUGAGUAACGCGUAUCCAACCUGCCCUUCACCACGGGAUAACCCGGCGAAAGUCGGACUAAUACCGUAUGUUGUCCAUUGACGGCAUCCGAUUUGGACGAAAGGUUUGGCGGUGAAGGAUGGGGAUGCGUCCGAUUAGCUGGACGGCGGGGUGACGGCCCACCGUGGCGACGAUCGGUAGGGGUUCUGAGAGGAAGGUCCCCCACACUGGAACUGAGACACGGUCCAGACUCCUACGGGAGGCAGCAGUGAGGAAUAUUGGUCAAUGGGCGUAAGCCUGAACCAGCCAAGUAGCGUGCAGGAUGACGGCCCUAUGGGUUGUAAACUGCUUUUAUGCGGGGAUAAAGUGGCCCACGUGUGGGUUUUUGCAGGUACCGCAUGAAUAAGGACCGGGUAAUUCCGUG